ensembl:lncRNA LINC01919 long intergenic non-protein coding RNA 1919
GGCUCUCAAGCAAGGUCCACUUGCAGUGAAAUAAACCAGAGGUUUGAAUCAUGGCUUGAUACGAAAUUAUUGGAAAGAAUAUGGCGAUGACAUCCACAAUGCCGGAUAAAGAAAAUAUUUAGAAGAUGAGAUUCCUGUGUUUCUGGCUUUCAUAACUUUUUAGAUUUCCUUUCUACUGGAAAACUUUUAACUUUGAAAACCGCAAGUAAUAUUUUUCUUCCUGAAACCUCUGCAGUGGUAGCAAUGCACUGAAGUUUGAUUAAAAGUUUACUGGUCAUUCCUGCCAUGAGAAGAUGAUAGAGAAUAUCACCACAGUGUGACUUGCUUCCAAGGCAGCAUGGUUUCAUGCAGAGGAUCUAAACUGGGGACCAUGUGCUGGGCUGCAAAAGGGCUGUGCAGUGCCUAAAAUGUUAUGCAAAAUUUUAUAAAGUUGGUGUUGUUUUCUUCAGUCAAGAGGUCCACAGAGCUGUCUUUCAUUCUGUAGGUUUAUCAGCAACUGAUGCUUAAAACCUAUUAGGCACUGCAAAAAAAGAGUGCACACCUUCUACUUAUUAAAAAAAAAAACAAACUGUAAAACAGCAUCAUGCAGGUUCUUCAGGAGAGAUUCCAGAGGAAGGCAUUGUUGUGGUAGAAGAUGACAGUUCCACAGGUGUUACUAGCCAUGAAGAUCUUCCAGUGAGACAAGAUGUGGAGGUGGAAGACAGUGAUAUUGAUGAUUCUGAUCCUGUUGUUAUAAAUAAAGUUUCGGUUCCACAAAAGAAA